rnacentral:rRNA from 1 species
AAUAGAUACCCAGGUAGUCCACGCCGUAAACGAUGAGUGCUAAGUGUUAGAGGGUUUCCGCCCUUUAGUGCUGCAGCUAACGCAUUAAGCACUCCGCCUGGGGAGUACGGUCGCAAGACUGAAACUCAAAGGAAUUGACGGGGGCCCGCACAAGCGGUGGAGCAUGUGGUUUAAUUCGAAGCAACGCGAAGAACCUUACCAGGUCUUGACAUCCUCUGACAACUCUAGAGAUAGAGCGUUCCCCUUCGGGGGACAGAGUGACAGGUGGUGCAUGGUUGUCGUCAGCUCGUGUCGUGAGAUGUUGGGUUAAGUCCCGCAACGAGCGCAACCCUUGAUCUUAGUUGCCAGCAUUUAGUUGGGUCACUCUAAGGUGACUGCCGGUGACAAACCGGAGGAAGGUGGGGAUGACGUCAAAUCAUCAUGCCCCUUAUGACCUGGGCUACACACGUGCUACAAUGGAUGGUACAAAGGGCUGCAAGACCGCGAGGUCAAGCCAAUCCCAUAAAACCAUUCUCGAGUUCGGAUUGU